rnacentral:misc_RNA from 1 species
AAGUCGUAACAAGGUUUCCGUAGGUGAACCUGCGGAAGGAUCAUUAACGAAUAUCUAUGGCGUUGGUUGUAGCUGGCUCCUAGGAGCAUUGUGCACGCCUGUCAUUCAUAUCUUUCCACCUGUGAACCAUUUGUAGGCCUGGAUACCCCUCGCUUUGGCAACAAAGCGGAUGCAAGGAUUGCUGCGUCGACAAGGCCGGCUCUCUUUGAAUUUCCAGGUUCUAUGUCUUUUACACACCCCAUUCGAAUGAUUUUAGAAUGUAGUCAAUGGGCUUUCAUGCCUAUAAAAAACUAUACAACUUUCAGCAACGGAUCUCUUGGCUCUC